UACGGAGGGUGCAAGCGUUGUCCGGAUUUAUUGGGUUUAAAGGGUGCGUAGGCGGCUUUUUAAGUCAGCGGUGAAAGUUUCAGGCUCAACCUGGAGACUGCCGUUGAUACUGAUGAGCUUGAGUUACGGAGGGGUACAUGGAAUUUAUGGUGUAGCGGUGAAAUGCAUAGAUACCAUAAGGAACACCGAUAGCGAAGGCAUUGUACCGGCCGUCGACUGACGCUGAGGCACGAAAGCGUGGGUAGCGAACAGG
rnacentral:misc_RNA from 1 species